GGCAUCCAAAUGGGACCCAGAACAAUAGCACAAGAUGGCCAGUCUUCAAAAGCACUGAACAAAAGUACCUAAGCUUGAACACAGGAUCUCCAAGUGUGCACACUAAACUACGUGCUCAACAAUGCCGAUUCUGGACACUGUUUUUUCCCAAAGUCUUGGAAAUGACAGGAAAUAUUGAUGAAGCAGAACAAGAGUGGAAAGCAGGAUUCCAUCGCUGGAACAAUUACAUGAUGGACUGGAAAAAUCAAUUUAACGAUUACACCAGCAAGAAAGAGAGCUGUAUGGGUCUCUAAUUAAUAGAUUUACCCUUUAGAGAAUGUGCAUUUUCCUCUAGAUGAAGGUAAAAUAUCAGUAGCUCUCUACACAUCUUCGAAGAAAGCUAUUAUAUAGCUGAAACAAAACUGCCAGAAGGGUAAUAUUGAUCCCUCACAUCUUUCACUUAGUAUUUUACCUAGCAUUUCAAAACCCAAAUGGUUAGACCACGUUUAAUUAAAUUUCACAAUAUGAAGUUUGACAAUUAAUUAUAUGCAUAUUAAAAUGAUGUGCUGCUUUAAUCUUUAUUUUCUGAAUAACUAAGUGUUUUUCCCC